GAUGAACGCUGGCGGCGUGCCUAAUACAUGCAAGUCGAGCGAACAGAUAAGGAGCUUGCUCCUUUGACGUUAGCGGCGGACGGGUGAGUAACACGUGGAUAACCUACCUAUAAGACUGGGAUAACUUCGGGAAACCGGAGCUAAUACCGGAUAACAUAUUGAACCGCAUGGUUCAAUAGUGAAAGGCGGCUUUGCUGUCACUUAUAGAUGGAUCCGCGCCGUAUUAGCUAGUUGGUAAGGUAACGGCUUACCAAGGCAACGAUACGUAGCCGACCUGAGAGGGUGAUCGGCCACACUGGAACUGAGACACGGUCCAGACUCCUACGGGAGGCAGCAGUAGGGAACCUUCCGCAAUGGGCGAAAGCCUGACGGAGCAACGCCGCGUGAGUGAUGAAGGUCUUCGGAUCGUAAAACUCUGUUAUCAGGGAAGAACAAAUGUGUAAGUAACUGUGCACAUCUUGACGGUACCUGAUCAGAAAGCCACGGCUAACUACGUG
rnacentral:rRNA from 1 species